AGUGAACGCUGGCGGCAGGCCUAACACAUGCAAGUCGAACGGCAGCACAGUAAGAGUUUGCUCUUACGGGUGGCGAGUGGCGGACGGGUGAGGAAUACAUCGGAAUCUACUUUUUCGUGGGGGAUAACGUAGGGAAACUUACGCUAAUACCGCAUACGACCUACGGGUGAAAGCAGGGGAUCUUCGGACCUUGCGCGAUUGAAUGAGCCGAUGUCGGAUUAGCUAGUUGGCGGGGUAAAGGCCCACCAAGGCGACGAUCCGUAGCUGGUCUGAGAGGAUGAUCAGCCACACUGGAACUGAGACACGGUCCAGACUCCUACGGGAGGCAGCAGUGGGGAAUAUUGGACAAUGGGCGCAAGCCUGAUCCAGCCAUGCCACGUGGGUGAAGAAGGCCUUCGGGUUGUAAAGCCCUUUUGUUGGGGAAGAAAAGCAGCAGGUUAAUACCCCGCUGUUCUGACGGUACCCAAAGAAUAAGCACCGGCUAACUUCGUG
rnacentral:rRNA from 1 species